GUGCUCCCUUCAGCGGCACAGACACUAACGCUGGAAGGGUACAGAGAAGAUUAACAUGGUCCCUGCACAGGAUGACAUGCAGAUUCACGAAGCAGUCCAAGUUUUA